GAACACAAAAUGGCGACACGUGGUUAGCAUUCGUCGCCAACGAGAAAUUGGGGUCGGCCCGAAAGCUCUAGAAUGCACCCCUCUUCCUCCCCGGGGCCUUCCACCUCCGCGAGUUUUAUGACUUAAAAAAGCCCACAGGCUGGUCUGAAGAGGAAGACAAACAUAAAGAUGAAGUGCUUAAUUCAAGGUCACACAAUGUCGGGGAUGGACCUCCAGAUUUCCUUACUGACCUGCAUUAUCUUGUGGAUACCUGAGUGAAUUCCACACCACCCAUUUUAUAGAUGAAACCACUGAGACAUGGAGCAAUUGACUGAGUAGUCACUGCCCCACCCCUGCCUGGAGCCUCACACAUGACUCGCCUCCUCUCAGUGACCACAGGUUGGUUGAGGGGUUUAACAAGGCUAAGAAGAGACGGAGUCUUGCUAUGUUGCCCAGGCUGGUCUUGAACUCCUCACCUCAAGCGAUCCUCCCGUCUUGGCCUCCCAAGUGUCAGGAUUACGGGCAUGUGCUAUCACACCCAACCUGAUACAUUGCCUUUAUAAAUUUUUUUUUCUUUAUUCUAAAAACCAGAAAAAACAAAACUG
rnacentral:lncRNA from 10 species